AUUGAACGCUGGCGGCAUGCCUUACACAUGCAAGUCGAACGAGAACGGAUUAUAGCUUGCUAUAAUUGUCAGCUAAGUGGCGCACGGGUGAGUAAUGUAUAGGUAAUAUGCCUCUUACUAAGGGAUAACAAAUGGAAACGUUUGCUAAUACCUUAUACUCCUUAUUAACAGAAGUUAAUAAGGGAAAGAUUUAUUGGUAAGAGAUUAGCCUGUAUUGUAUCAGUUAGUUGGUGGGGUAAUGGCUUACCAAGACUAUGACACAUAACUGGUUUGAGAGGAUGAUCAGUCACACUGGAACUGAGACACGGUCCAGACUCCUACGGGAGGCAGCAGUGGGGAAUAUUGCACAAUGGACGAAAGUCUGAUGCAGCAACGCCGCGUGGAGGAUGACACAUUUCGGUGCGUAAACUCCUUUUAUAUGAGAAGAUAAUGACGGUAUUAUAUGAAUAAGCACCGGCUAACUCCGUGCCAGCAGCCGCAGUAACAC
rnacentral:rRNA from 1 species